CAGUCCAAUGACCUGCCCACAACUCCACACACAAAAAAGGACAGACUGAGAGAGACUGAGGGCGGGAGGAACACAGAGAAAGGGAAAUCAAGUCCAACAAGGUGGCAAAGACAUGGACUCAAUAACAAUUUUUACCAUGUUUUCUUUCAGAAACAAGGACAUUUUAUGUGAGGAUCAAAUAUUCUCCCUUCAAAAACUUCUGCAAUUGAAGGCCGAGGCGUGAGCCACCAUGCCCGGCCAUGAAACAUUUAUUUUUAAAAUGCCUUUAAUCUUUAAAAAAAAAAAUAAAAGAAAAAGAAAAAAAGAAAAGAGGUUUCACAGAUGUGACUAAAGCAUGGACUGUUAGGCGCUUAAGAGACCAAAUUUUUAAAAGCGUUCUGUAAUGUAUCUCUCUUAUAUGGUUGCAACAAUGUGUAUUUUAAGUGUAAGCCAAGAACCUUUUCUCUCAGUUUCUAUAGACUUGGAUGGAAACUUUUGGACUUGAUGGGAAAAUUAACUCUCAAUCUAAACACUAGCCAAUGUAGACUUUUUCUUCUGAGUGCUUUUUCCUAUGGAAUUCAAAGUACCAACUAUUCAAUUCUCGAUUUUCUAAGCCUUCUUAGAAGAAUAACUAUUUACUAAAACCCAACCAAACCAACCUAUAACAUCAUCCAUCUCCUUUAUUAGUUAUUUCUUUAUGCUUUUAGAAUUGUCAUCUACUGCUGAAGAAAUCUUUCUUGGAAUUGAAGGGAACAGUUAAAUCAGAUUUACAUGAUAAACUAUGGGUUGUCAUUUGUAUAUAGAACUUUUACGGAAUAAAUGUAGUCUAACAAACUGGGCUCUCUAAUGAAAUAUGUAAGCUUUUCUAAUAAUUUCUAUGAAAAGCUAUAUUCUCUUAGAAUUUUUUUUUUUUUUUUUUAGAGACAGGUUCUCGCUCUGUCACCCAGGCUGGAGUACAGUGGCAUGAUAACGGCUCACUGCAGCCGCGUCCUCCCUGGGCUCAGGUGAUCCUCCCGCUUCAGUCUCCUGAGUAGCUGGGAUUACAGGUGUGCACCACCAUGCCUGGCCUAAAUUUUUAAAUUUUUUUGUAGAAAUGAGUCUCCCUGUUACCCAGGCUGAUCUCAAAACUUCUGGCCUCAAGCAAUCCUCCCGCCUCUGACCAGUUUACCGAGCUAUUUAGAUGUCCUAACUACUAGGAAUUAUAUGUCUUUAAAAACUGAGGAAAAAGAACAGCACUACUCAAAUGGUAUAUUCUUUUUACUCUCAGCCACCAACUGGGGCCCCUAAUUUUCUCCCUCUGCCUAGAAUUCCUGUGUCCUACACCAGAAGCGUCUACGGGCCCUGCUCUCUGCUCUUUAUGAGUAUUUAACAUGCUUCACAGAACGGGGGUGCAGCUCAGUGACUGUGAUUCUUUGGUUCAAACACUUAAUUGGGGCUUCAUCUUUGAUUUUUUCUGCAUGUUAAUCUGCAAAUACUCAAGGCCUACUAUGUGCUUUAAAUGAUACUAACACUUCCGUUUAGAAGGUUGUGUGCAUCACAGAGUAUCUGUAACGGGGACAGUCCUAUUUCCCUUUCUCAAUUUUCAGAUGUAUCGAUUCCUUCAGAUUUCAACAGAAAUAACCAAUAAAUGUGGCAGACAUUCUUACAACAUCCUAAGUCAUUAUGACAGUCAUUU
rnacentral:lncRNA from 10 species